rnacentral:rRNA from 1 species
GACAGAGGGUGCAAACGUUGCUCGGAAUCACUGGGUGUAAAGGGUUCGUAGGCGGUGUGGCAAGUCGGGAGUGAAAUCUCUGGGCUCAACCCAGAGUCUGCUUCCGAAACUGCUGUGCUUGAGUGUGGGAGAGGCGCGUGGAAUUGCAGGUGUAGCGGUGAAAUGCGUAGAUAUCUGCAGGAACACCCGUGGCGAAAGCGGCGCGCUGGACCACUACUGACGCUGAGGAACGAAAGCUAGGGGAGCAAACAGG